rnacentral:rRNA from 1 species
GAUGAACGCUGGCGGCGUGCUUAACACAUGCAAGUCGAGCGAGUGAGUUCUUCGGAACGAUCUAGCGGCGGACGGGUGAGUAACACGUGGGCAACCUGCCUCAUAGAGGGGAAUAGCCUCCCGAAAGGGAGAUUAAUACCGCAUAAAAUUAUCGAGUGGCAUCACAUGAUAAUCAAAGGAGUAAUCCGCUAUGAGAUGGGCCCGCGGCGCAUUAGCUAGUUGGUGAGGUAACGGCUCACCAAGGCGACGAUGCGUAGCCGACCUGAGAGGGUGAUCGGCCACAUUGGGACUGAGACACGGCCCAGACUCCUACGGGAGGCAGCAGUGGGGAAUAUUGCACAAUGGGGGAAACCCUGAUGCAGCAACGCCGCGUGAGUGAUGAAGGUCUUCGGAUUGUAAAGCUCUGUCUCUGGGGACGAUAAUGACGGUACCCAAGGAGGAAGCCACGGCUAACUACGUGCCAGCCGCCGCCGUAA